rnacentral:rRNA from 1 species
UACGGAGGGGGCUAGUGUUGUUCGGAAUUACUGGGCGUAAAGGGCGCGCAGGCGGCUUGGCAAGUCGAGUGUGAAAUCCCUUGGCUUAACUAAGGAAUGGCGCUCGAAACUACCUAGCUAGAGGACGGGAGAGGGAAGUGGAACUCUCGGUGUAGGGGUGAAAUCUGUAGAUAUCGAGAGGAACAACCGAUGGCGAAGGCAGAUCUCUGGGCCGUAACGUGACGCUGAGGAGCGAAAGCGUGGGGAGCGAAGAGG